GUGGGGAAUUUUGGACAAUGGGCGCAAGCCUGAUCCAGCGACGCCGCGUGGAGGACGAAGGCCUUCGGGUUGUAAACUCCUUUUGGAGGGGAAGAAUAAAUUGACGGUACCCUCAGAAAAAGCCACGGCUAACUACGUGCCAGCAGCCGCGGUAAUACGUAGGUGGCGAGCGUUACUCGGAAUUACUAGGCGUAAAGCGUAUGUAGGUGGUUAGAUAAGUCUAUGGUGAAAUUUCCUGGCUUAACUGGGAAGGGACAUAGAUACUAUCUGGCUUGAGUGUGGGAGGGGGAGACGGAAUUCCUGGUGUAGCGGUGAAAUGCGUAGAUAUCAGGAGGAACGCCGAUGGCGAAAGCAGUCUCCUGGCCCAAUACUGACACUGAGGUACGAAAGCUAGGGUAGCAAACAGGAUUAGAAACCCUAGUAGUCC
rnacentral:rRNA from 1 species